AGGGAUCAUUACAGAGUUGCAAAACUCCCACAAACCAUCGCGAAUCUUACCCGUACGGUUGCCUCGGCGCUGGCGGUCCGGAAGGCCCUCGGGCCCCCGGACCCUCGGGUCUCCCGCUCGCGGGAGGCUGCCCGCCGGAGUGCCGAAACCAAACUCUUGAUAUUUUAUGUCUCUCUGAGUAAACUUUUAAAUAAGUCAAAACUUUCAACAACGGAUCUCUUGGUUCUGGCAUCGAUGAAGAACGCAGCGAAAUGCGAUAAGUAAUGUGAAUUGCAGAAUUCAGUGAAUCAUCGAAUCUUUGAACGCACAUUGCGCUCGCCAGUAUUCUGGCGAGCAUGCCUGUUCGAGCGUCAUUUCAACCAUCAAGCUCUGCUUGCGUUGGGGAUCCGCGGCUGCCCGCGGUCCCUCAAAAACAGUGGCGGGCUCGCUAGUCACACCGAGCGUAGUAACUCUACAUCGCUAUGGUCGUGCGGCGGGUUCUUGCCGUAAAACCCCCAAUUUCUAAGGUUGACCUCGGAUCAGGUAGGAAUACCCGCUGAACUUAA
rnacentral:rRNA from 1 species